GAUGAACGCUGGCGGCGUGCUUAACACAUGCAAGUCGAACGAUUAAGCCCAGCUUGCUGGUUGGUUUAGUGGCGAACGGGUGAGUAACACGUGAGCAACCUGCUCCUGACUCUGGGAUAAGCGCUGGAAACGGCGCUUAUUACUCGAUAUGUCUCGUCACCGCAUGGUGUGCGGGUGGAAACAUUUUUCGGUUGGGGAUCGUCGCGCGGCCUAUCAGCUUGUUGGUGGAGUAAUCGCUCACGAAGGCGUUGCCGGGUAGCCGGCCUGGGAGGGUGACCCGGCACACGGGUACUAAGGGACGGACCAGAGGCCAAUGGGAGGCAGCGGGGGGGAAUAUUGCACAAUGGGGGGGAGCGUGAUGAAGAAACGCCGGGUGUGGGAUGACGGCCUUCGGGUGGUAAACCUCUGUUAGCAGGGACGAAGCGAAAGUGACGGUACCUGCAGAAUAAGCACCGGCUAACUACGUG
rnacentral:rRNA from 1 species